rnacentral:rRNA from 1 species
UGGGGGACCACAGUUGGUAACCACUGCUAAUACCGCCUAAUACCACCGUAUCGCACGACCCAGCGGCAAAAGAUUUAUCGGUAUGAGAUGGACCCCCCUCCGACUCACUAAUUGGCGAGGGAACGGCCCACCAAGGUGGCGAUCAGUAGCCGACCUGAGAGGGUGAUCGGCCACAUUGGGACUGAGACACGGCCCAAACUCCUACGGGAGGCAGCAGUGGGGAAUAUUGGACAAUGGGGGAAACCCUGAUCCAGCGACGCCGCGUGAGUGAAGAAGUAUUUCGGUAUGUAAAGCUCUUUAAGCAGGGAAGAAAAUGACGGUACCUGCAGAAUAAGCCCCGGCUAACUACGUGCCAGCAGCCGCGGUAAUACGUAGGGGGCAAGCGUUAUCCGGAUUUACUGGGUGUAAAGGGAGCGUAGACGGCAAUGCAAGUCUGAAGUGAAAGCCCGUGGCUCAACCCCGGGACUGCAUUUGGAACUGUCUGGCUAGAGUAUCGGAGAGGUAAGUGGAAUUCCUAGUGUAGCGGUGAAAUGCGUAGAUAUUCGGAGGAACACCAGUGGCGAAGGCGGCUUUCUGGACUGUAACUGACGCUGAGGCACGAAAGCGUGGGGAGCAAACCCGAAAAGGUCCCCUUNUUUCCCNCNCUUAANNCNAUGCCCCUAAAAGGCGGGGGUAUCAACUCCCUCUGUGCUGCAGCAAACGCAAUAAGUAUUUCGCUUGGGGAGUACGGCCGCCGAGGUUGAAACUCAAAGGAAUGGACGGGGGGCCGCCACAAGCAGCGGAGCAUGUGGUUUAUUUUGUCGCUACGCGAGGAAACCUUACCAAGGCUUGACGUCCACUUAAACUCAUAGAAAUAUGAGGUCUCUUCGGAGGAAGUGAGACAGGUGGUGCAUGGUUGUCGUCAGCUCGUGUCGUGAGAUGUUGGGUUUAGUCUCGCAACGAGGGCAACCCUUCUUAUCCAGUUACCAGCGAGUAAAGUCGGGGGCUGUGGUGAGACUGCCGGGGACAAAUUGGAGGAAGGUGGGGACGACGUCAAAUCAUCAUGCCCCUUAUGUGUUGGGGUACACACGUGCUACAAUGGUGGUUACAAAGGGAAGCGACAGUGUGAGCGGAAGCGGAUCUCGGAAAAACAGUCCCAGUUCGGAUUGUGGGUUGCAACCCGCCCACAUGAAGUUGGAGUUGUUAGUAUUCGCGGAUCAGAAUGCCGCGGUGAAUACGUUCCCGGGCUUUGCACACACCGCCCGUCA